AGAGCCACCCUGCCCGGCCCAGCCUUUCUCCUUAAUUCUGGUAGCUAGAGCAUGGACUGUAACAUGAGUACAGUUACUUUAUCUACAGAGACAUUGUAAGUUCAGAGGCAUGAGAGUUAGCAUCCAGAGGCAGCUGACACCAGCAGCACAGCUCUCUCUCCCGCAGGAUCAUUGCCAGCAGAACAUCCUACACCAAUGGCUGUUUGGGCAGGAUCUUGGCUGUGCUUUGUCUGUCUAGCUUCAUGCCCAAGUUUGGUGUCUCUCCCCAGAUCACUCACCAAUGAACCUUUUGCAUGAAACUGUUCAUCUCAGAAACUGUUUUUAAGACAAAGAUUGAAGUCCAAAAUAAACAGCCUUGAUCCAGGUGAAGCAUGUAAACAAACCUUGCACAUGGAAUUCCCAGCAAAGAAGCUGUGGGGAUCCGGACAGGGCCUGGGCAGUGACUGACUUACAGAAACCCGCCAUGUCUCGUUCUCUGCUGGAGACCUCUGCUUCACCAUCUUGUGAACAUCCGCAGGCUCCCUGCACCCUAAUCUUGCCCUCUUACUGUUGACUCAGUCCUCAUGGAAGUUAUAAAAGAACUUGUGUGCAUUAGCUUGCUAAAUACAUCCAAGAUUUGAAGAACUGAAAAAAAAAAUCAGUAUUAAACCUGCUUUUUAAAAAGG